GCCCGUCUUCUGGCUCGUUUUGCUUUGAUUUUUUAACCUGGUUUUGUUUUGAGUGCUUGACUGGGUGUUUUGGGAGGUGUCCUUGGACUGGCUCUUAAUUUCCAAACGAUAUACCUGUCGGCGACGCUACUGCUUUGGGUACUUUCAGGACCCGUCUUGAAACACGGACCAAGGAGUCUAACAUGUGCGCGAGUCAUUGGGUUUACUAAACCUAAAGGCGCAAUGAAAGUGAAGGUCUUCUUUAGCAUUGGCCGAGGGGGGGGGGCUGGAGUCACGAUUUGAGCCAAACACUCCUGGGGUGUGCUCGUGUGAAG
rnacentral:rRNA from 1 species